rnacentral:rRNA from 1 species
GAGACUGCUUCCGAACUGCUGUGCUUGAGUGUGGAGAGGCGCGUGAAUUGCAGUGUAGCGUGAAAUGCGUAGAUAUCUGCAGGAACACCCGUGGCGAAAGCGGCGCGCUGGACCACUACUGACGCUGAGGAACGAAAGCUAGGGGAGCAAACAGGAUUAGAUACCUGGUAGUCCUAGCCCUAAACGAUCAGGACUUGGGGUGCCACCCGUUCGGGUGUCGUCCCGGAGCUAACGCGUUAAGUCCUGCACCUGGGGAGUACGGUCGCAAGACUGAAACUCAAAGGAAUUGACGGGGGCCCGCACAAGCGGUGGAACAUGUGGUUCAAUUCGACGCUACGCGAGGAACCUUACCUGGGCUCGAAGCGCACUUGACUAGCUGUAGAAAUACGGCCUUCCCGCAAGGGACAAGUGUGGAGGCGCUGCAUGGCUGUCGUCAGCUCGUGCCGUGAGGUGUUGGGUUAAGUCCCGCAACGAGCGCAACCCCUGCACGUAGUUGCCACUCCGCAAGGAGGGAACUCUACGUGGACUGCUCCGGAUAACGGAGAGGAAGGUGGGGAUGACGUCAAGUCCGCAUGGCCUUUAUGUCCAGGGCUACACACGUGUUACAAUGCAGGGCACAAACCGUUGCCAACCCGCGAGGGGGAGCUAAUCGGAAAAAACUCUGCUCAGUUCGGAUUGCAGUCUGCAACUCGACUGCAUGAAGCCGGAAUCGCUAGUAAUGGCGUAUCAGAUCGACGCCGUGAAUACGUUCCCGGGCCUUGUACACACCGCCCGUCACAUCACGAAAGUGAGUUGUACUAGAAGUCGCCAAGCUGACCGCAAGGAGGCAGGCGCCCAAGGUAUGACCCACGAUUGGGGUGAAGUCGUAACAAGGUAACC